AGCUCCAAUAGCGUAUAUUAAAGUUGUUGCAGUUAAAAAGCUCGUAGUUGGAUUUCUGGUCGGAGCGAUCGGUCCGCCUCAUUCGGGGUGUGUACUUUGUGUCGUCUCCAGCCAUCCUUGAGGAGAACUGUCCUGGCAUUGAGUUGUUGGGGCAGGGAACCUCAUCUUUUACUGUGAAAAAAUUAGAGUGUUUAAAGCAGGCUUACGCCGUUGAAUACAUUAGCGUGGAAUAAUAAGAUAGGACUUUGGCGGUCUAUUUUGUUGGUUUGCACGCCGAGGUAAUGAUUAAUAGGGAUAGUUGGGGGUAUUCGUAUUUAAUUGUCAGAGGUGAAAUUCUUGGAUUUCUGAAAGACGAACUACUGCGAAAGCAUUUACCAAGGAUGUUUUCA
rnacentral:rRNA from 1 species